GAGAGAGAGAGAGAGAGAGAGAGAGAGAGAGAGCCAAAAAACUUAAAAUAGUUUACAAUAAGGAUAUCAAUAUUUCAUGAACAGAGAACCCGAGUAGGAGAGAAGGAGAUAGCCAAAAAACUUAAAAUAGUUUACAAUAAGGAUAUCAAUUUUUCAUGAACAGAGAACCCAAGUAGGAGAGAAGAAGAUAUCAAAUUUUCAUGAAGGAAAAACCAUAGAGAGAGAGAUGGGUACUUAGUGUUUUGCAACUUUGAAUGGAGGUGGUUAGAGAGAUGCGUGGGGUGAGAGAGUUGAGCUGCUGCCAUUAGAGGCAGGGAGCUUAUCCACUUUACUCGCAGGCACUCUCUUCUUAAGGUUUUUUGCGCCUGUUUACAUUCUUCUUAUUACUGCCUCUCUCUCUCCCCCAUUUUUCCCCUGUCUUUCUCUCUCCAUUUCUCUCUACUCUCUCUCUCAUCUCCAUUUGUCCCUCUUCUCUCUCUCUCAUCUCCAUUUGUUACCCUUUGCUUAUUUUUGUUUGAUGAAUACUCGCUCCCCCAAAUUUUUCAAUAAAAAGAUCUUGCUCGUAUGUUUGCC
rnacentral:lncRNA from 1 species